rnacentral:rRNA from 1 species
AUGAGGAAAAUCAAUGUCGACAAAUAUUUGAUAUCGGCAUUGGUGGAGCGUUGGCGGCCCGAGACAAACAGUUUUCACCUACCUGUAGGAGAAAUGACCAUUACGUUGCAAGAUGUCAGUUGUUUGUGGGGGUUGCCUAUCCAUGGUAAACCACUUGUAGGAAAAGCUGAUGCACAGUGGUCAGAAAUAUUUGAGAGUUUGCUUGGGAUUCCUAUGGAUGAACAACACAUGAAACAAAAGAAAAGGCGAAAAGGUGAUGAUAAUGUUGUUGUGAGGAAUUCACAAUACUCUCUAAAUCUGGGUAAACUGCGGGAACGCUUCCAUGUGUUGCCGGAUAAUCCAAUGGACAGGGAGAUUAAUUGGCAUGCCCGAGCACUUGUUCUAGAAAUUCUUGGCUCCAUAGUCUUUACUGAUACAUCUGGAGAUGGAGUGCCAGCUAUGUAUCUCCAAUUUAUGCAGGAUUUAGGACAACCAACAGAGUAUAAUUGGGGAGCAGCUGCUCUUGCUCUAUUGUAUAGACAAUUGAGCAUAGGUGCUGAGAAGGAGAGACUACAAAUUUCAGGUCCUUUAUUGCUGCUACAGUUAUGGUCUUGGUCCCGUUUGCCACUUGGUCGCCCUAAAGUUAUUUUUGAGAAGCCCAAAGAAGGAGAGGAACUUGAUGAAGAGGAAGAAGAACAAGAAGUACACUUGCAUUAUAACCCUGUUUUUGGAGCAAACUGGUGUGCUGCACAUUCGUUUGAUGUCCCUCAUAAUGCUGGUACUGAAUAUUAUCGAAAUCAGAUUGACUUGAUUCGAGAAGGUGCAGUUGGUUGGCAACCAUAUGAUGAUCUUCUGGAGCAGAUGCCUUUUGAAGUUCAUCAAGAUUCUAAUUGGUGGUUUGCUAGAGAACCACUCAUGCAUUUUUGGAUUGUGGAGUUCCACUAUCCAUAUAGGGUGAUGCGACAAUUUGGAUUAAGACAACCCAUUCCCCCUUCUCUUCCACGUGGCGAGGCAGAGGUUCGAAAACUUAGAAAAAUUAAACAUUCUGCAGGAAAAUCGCAUAAUUGGGAGGAAGUCCACGCCAAUUAUGUUCAAGAAUACAACCGUGUUGAUGCAAGAGUGUGGCCAGACGAUGUUCCCUUCGAUGAACCUAGUUUACCUGAUUACAGACAUUGGUUCCAACAAAAUGGUAUGUACACAGUAUUCUUCGAUUCUCAAUGCUUGGGCAGCCUAGAUAAACCUAUCCCAUAUCCUCGAGAUAGCAUCGAAUGGACUGGCUACAUGCCUAGUGGUCCGCCACUGGCUCAUAUUGGGUUACGCGAGAUAAAGAAUGCCGCAUGGGGUAUUAAAUGUGUUAUUACUAGUGGAUACAAGAAGAUAGGGAAAGCUAUACUGUGGUCCUGUGUAGGAAAUUUGUUGGAUUUUAACCUGGAGCCUAGGCUGCAAAGCAUGCUUACUGAGGCUAGGUUACCACUGAAUAUUGAAGAUAUUCCAUCUGAUGAAGAGGUUUCUGAUAUUGCUAACCCACCAAGCCCCCCAAAAGAGAGAAACUCCGAUGUGUUCAAUGAAUGGAUAUACUCCGGCAAAGGUUUUACAACAUACCUUAAGGCUGGUGAAGCGAUAAGAGAUGGGGAACCGACAACACAAGAUGUAGGUCAAGUUACCCAAUAA